UGCUUGCAAUUCAUCCUCAGCGGAUCGUCUUUCAUUUACCCGUUUGCUUGGUAAUGAUCGUUGCUUCCUUUGAUCGGUCGUCUUUAUAUACCUAAUUCUGGUAUCCUGAUGCCUUUCUUUUCGGUCGAUUUAUCCUUUGUUAACCCAGUAACCAAUUGUGGAUAAUCUUCCAUGCGAGUAUGUUAUUCACGUUCUGACGGUAAUGAAUAAUAUAUCUCAUGCACUCUUCAGUUGAAGCCUUUGUGUUUCCCUGGUCGAGUAAGAUUCGUUGU
rnacentral:lncRNA from 1 species